rnacentral:rRNA from 1 species
GCAUCCUACGGGGCGCAGCAGUGAGGAAUAUUGGUCAAUGGGCGGGAGCCUGAACCAGCCAAGUCGCGUGAGGGAAGACGGUCCUAUGGAUUGUAAACCUCUUUAGGCGGGGAGCAAUGCCGGGCACGUGUGCCCGGAGGGAGAGUACCCGCAGAAUAAGCAUCGGCUAACUCCGUGCCAGCAGCCGCGGUAAUACGGAGGAUGCGAGCGUUAUCCGGAUUUAUUGGGUUUAAAGGGUGCGUAGGCGGAUUUUUAAGUCAGCGGUAAAAUUGCGGGGCUCAACCCCGUCGAGCCGU